GCGUAAAGCSCACGUAGGCGGCUUUGUAAGUUAGAGGUGAAAGCCUGGAGCUCAACUCCAGAAUUGCCUUUAAGACUGCAUCGCUUGAAUCCAGGAGAGGUGAGUGGAAUUCCGAGUGUAGAGGUGAAAUUCGUAGAUAUUCGGAAGAACACCAGUGGCGAAGGCGGCUCACUGGACUGGUAUUGACGCUGAGGUGCGAAAGCUGUGGGGAGCAAACAGGAUUAGAUACCCUGGUAGUCCACGCCGUAAACGAUGAUAACUAGCUGUCGGGGCUCUUAGAGCUUCGGUGGCGCAGCUAACGCAUUAAGUUAUCCGCCUGGGGAGUACGGCCGCAAGGUUAAAACUCAAAGGAAUUGACGG
rnacentral:rRNA from 1 species